rnacentral:rRNA from 1 species
CCCUUAGAUGUUCUGGGCCGCACGCGCGCUACACUGACGAAUGCAACGAGCUUAUAACCUUGGCCGAAAGGUCUGGGUAAUCUCCAAAUUUCGUCGUGAUGGGGAUAGAUUAUUGCAAUUAUUAAUCUUCAACGAGGAAUGCCUAGUAAGCGCAAGUCAUCAGCUUGCGUUGAUUACGUCCCUGCCCUUUGUACACACCGCCCGUCGCUCCUACCGAUUGAAUGGUCCGGUGAAGCGUUCGGACCGUGGCCUUUGGACGGUUCGCCGUCUGUUGGCUGCGGGAAGUUCGUUAAACCUUAUCAUUUAGAGGAAGGGGAAGUCGUAACA